rnacentral:rRNA from 1 species
GUGGGUAGUUUGACUGGGGCGGUCUCCUCCCAAAGAGUAACGGAGGAGCACGAAGGUUAGCUAAUCCUGGUCGGACAUCAGGAGGUUAGUGCAAUGGCAUAAGCUAGCUUGACUGCGAGCGUGACGGCGCGAGCAGGUGCGAAAGCAGGUCAUAGUGAUCCGGUGGUUCUGAAUGGAAGGGCCAUCGCUCAACGGAUAAAAGGUACUCCGGGGAUAACAGGCUGAUACCGCCCAAGAGUUCAUAUCGACGGCGGUGUUUGGCACCUCGAUGUCGGCUCAUCACAUCCUGGGGCUGAAGUAGGUCCCAAGGGUAUGGCUGUUCGCCAUUUAAAGUGGUACGCGAGCUGGGUUUAGAACGUCGUGAGACAGUUCGGUCCCUAUCUGCCGUGGGCGCUGGAGAAUUGAGGGGGGCUGCUCCUAGUACGAGAGGACCGGAGUGGACGCAUCACUGGUGUUCGGGUUGUCAUGCCAAUGGCAUUGCCCGGUAGCUAAAUGCGGAAGAGAUAAGUGCUGAAAGCAUCUAAGCACGAAACUUGCCCCGAGAUGAGUUCUCCCUGACUCCUUGAGAGUCCUGAAGGAACGUUAAAGACGAUGACGUUGAUAGGUCGGGUGUGUAAGCGUAGCGAUACGUUGAGCUAACCGAUACUAAUGAACCGUGAGGCUUAA